rnacentral:rRNA from 1 species
AUUGAACGCUAGCGGCAGGCCUAACACAUGCAAGUCGAGCGGGGUUUUCGGACCUAGCGGCGGACGGGUUAGUAACGCGUGGGAACGCGCCUUCUGCUCUGGAAUAGCCCUGGGAAACUGGGGGUAAUACCGGAUGUGCCCUGAGGGGGAAAGGUUUAUCUGGCAGGAGAUCGGCCCGCGUCUGAUUAGGUAGGUGGUGUGGUAAUGGCGCACCAAGCCGACGAUCGGUAGCUGGUUUGAGAGGAUGAUCAGCAACACUGGGACUGAGACACGGCCCAGACUCCUACGGGAGGCAGCAGUGGGGAAUCUUAGACAAUGGGGGCAACCCUGAUCUAGCCAUGCCGCGUGGGUGAUGAAGGCCUUAGGGUCGUAAAGCCCUUUCGCUGGGGAAGAUAAUGACGGUACCCAGUAAAGAAGCCCCGGCUAACUCCGUGCCAGCCGCCGCAGUAAUAC